CUACGAGCCUCUCCAUCUCCAGAAAGUCGUCCAUGAGAUCAAUCUCCCAGGUGAGAUCGCCGGAGGAGGACUCCCGAGCCAGGGCCUGGAGGCGGCGGCACUCGGCUUCGAGCGCGCUCACCUUCUUCGCGCUCUCCACCGUCUGGAGGUGAAGCUGCUCGGCUAGAGAGAGAAUCCUCAACCUGAGAUCGCUGUUUUCCAUCGCUAGGGCAUCGAGCUGGGGUCGACGGGCGAUCUUCUUCUCCGCGGCCUCCAGUUGGGCUUCGAGUUCGAGGAUGCGGAUCUCAAGGCUGAACUUCUCCGACCGCCAUUGAUCGGCCCUGUCGCCGAGGGCAUCUUGGAGCCUCUCUUCCUGCU
rnacentral:lncRNA from 1 species